GAUCUUAUCCCCAUGGUUUCCUUACACCCUAAGCUAAGCCCCCAUAAAAACCCCAUCCCUCUCUGCCUUUUUCCCUCGAGUGCAUUUCAUCGAACACCUUGCGAUCACUCUCUCACCACUGCUAGAGAUCACCAUUGCGAGGCUCUCUGGCCGGAGCUGGAGGUUGGAGGAAGUGGAGGCGGAGCUGCGCUGCCGCCGUCGCCAUUGGGGAGGUUGGACGCCAAGGAACGCCGACGAACACCUUCGGGCGCCAUCAACGCCGUCUGCCUCUGUUCCGCGACAUGGAACUUCGUCGUUCCUCCUUUCCUCGAGUGUUGAAGAGAAGCCCUUGUUUUAGUACGCUUGCGUACUUAACAAGAUGAUCGGAGUGCGGUUUCGAUCUAGGUCUCGUUCCCCAGUCGACUGCUUGUGGCAUGUCAACCGGGCCCUUGUAUUAUUUUGUUUUCCGCUGUUGUUUCUCUGAUAGUUGUUGGCCUGCCUGGCCCUAAUGCAAGUAUUUAACUCUCUUAGCCUGAAUUCAUACGUGAUGUGUUGUGAUUCGGCUAUGUAUGUGUGUACCAACUACUGAUCCAGGGAUUGGUACUGAUAAACACAGAAGAUUUCCGAUUUCCAAAAUCGGGGGUCGACACCUCCACUCAAAUCCCCCACUCUCCCCGAGAAAAUCGGCGCCGAGCCGCCCCAGUCGCCCACAUUGCCGGAGUCCCACGCCGCCGCCCGUUGCCGCCCCGUCCGGGCACGUUCUCCCCUCCCCGAGCUUAUAAAAAAUGCUCCUCAGGACUCCCUCUCUCUUUUCCCCAUCUUUCCAGAGCCCGCCGCACUCUCUCUCGCUCUCCCCACACCGAGCCCGUGCACCGCCGCUCGCCGGUGAGCUCCGGCCACGCGCCACCACUGCCCUAGCCACUGCCAAGCCGCGCCUCCGCCUCCACUACAUUCGCCGCACCGCGUAGCACCCCGGCCGCUGCUCCAUUUUCCCCAUCCAGCCCAAAAAUCCGCUCCCGCCGUGCCGACCUCUUCCGCCGCUCACCGGCGCUAUUCAGCCGCCUGCCACCGCUGCUCCCGCAGACUGCCCGAGCUGAGCCAAGCUAAGCGAGCUCGAGCCAAGCCCGAGCUGAGCUCACGAGCCCAAGCUUUUUUUCCACCCCUACCCGCAGUCCCCGUGCCGCGCCGCUCGCACCACUAGCAUCGCCACACCUCACCGCGCACCCGGCCUUCGCUUGGUUUCCCCAAAUAGCCACCGCAACUACCACCCAACCGUGAACCCGAGGUCACCGCCGCGUGACUGACACCUCCGGCCGCUGUUUCCGACCUCCUCACGGUGCGCCGUCACCUCCUUCGGCUCCGCAAGGGCAAGGAGAUCCUCGGCCACCACCUCACUGCUGCCGGGAGCCGUUGUAACCAUCUCCCCUCGCUCCCCGGUCCCGCUGGCCCUCGGCCGCACCUCCACCACUCUCAGGAGUCGCCGGAGCGCCGUCCCCGACCCCAACCCGAGAAGCGCCGCCGCUAAUCCUUGUCGUCGGCCGCCUUCCCAUCUUCGCCUCGCCAUCACGUCCUCUCGGUGAGCCCCCUCUCCUUCCCCCGCCACCUCCCAUGUGCGACGCCGCCGCUCGCCGCUGACGACCAUCGGGCCCGGCGGCGCCGCCUCCUGAUCGGUCAGCCGGCUGCUGCCGCCCUGCUAGCCCAUGACCGCCCGAUCCCCCUCUGGGUGAUCUAGGCUGUGCACGUGGCCCUCCCCGUGCCACCCGGCAUCGGUGCCCCCGUGGCGCCAUGUCGGCGCCACGUCGCCCUCUCCGUCCGCCAUGGCCACCACGUGGUGCGCCCGCUUGCCGGUGCCGCGUGGACCCGGUCCACUGUGCACCCGCCUCCCUUGAGCCACCGACAGGUGGGGCCCGCUUGUCGGCGCCACCAAUCCCCUCGGUGACGUCAUAAAUCAUGAUAAUUGCGCAAUAAAUUCGGUUAAUAAUUAUAGAAAUUCAUUUAAAUGGCUCAAAACUUCUAAAAUUCAUAUCUAAUUCAUACGAACACCAAAUUGAGCCGUUCAACUUUGCAAAAUUCAUCUAAAA